rnacentral:lncRNA from 1 species
CUGACAAUUAAAACAAUAAAAGAAUACAUUUUCGCCAAUAUUAAAAUAUUUUCUGUGGUAAGAAAAACAAUAAAAGAGGAAACAAUCAGUUAUUGAUGUGAGAUCGAUCUUUUAUAACGGAGGGCCAAGAUGUUGUCACGCUGGCAAAAAGCGAAUCGAGACCGUUGGAUGUGUACACACCGACGGUGAAGAUUACGAGAAGAGUUACACGACAAGAGAUAUGAGCCGUGGAUUUAUUCGCUUACUGCUUUUAUUAUUACUAGAGAUUUUUUCCGCGCUUCGCGCGGAUUGUGUCUUAUAAAUUUAUUUUAUUUAUAAUAUUAUUUGUCGGUUUGUUUCUUUUACAUUAAUUUUUUGUUUUUCCAAUGUUAGUUUUUCUUAAUUUAAAUUUAUAUGUUUAUAGUUUUUCUUUUUUCUGGUUGUAGAUGGAGAAUUAUAUUUUUUAUUGAUGGUUUUUGUAUGUGACAUAAACUUUUUGAAAUUUUAAAAUAAUGUUAUAUAUAGUACAAUUAACACAUUAAAGAAGAGAAACAUAUUUAAGCACAUUUUAUACAGGUUUUAUAUACAUAAUUUUAAACAUUAUAUAUAUAUAUAUUAUAAGUUUGAAA